GUCUAUGGCCAUGCCACCCUGAACAAGCCCAAUGUCUGAUCUCGGAAGCUAAGCAGGGUCAAGCCUGGUUAGUUCUUGGAUGGGAGACCACCUAGGAAGACCAGAUGCUGUAGACA
rnacentral:rRNA from 1 species